GUGCCAGCAGCGGCGGUAAUACGUAGGGCGCGAGCGUUAUCCGGAAUUAUUGGGCGUAAAGAGCUCGUAGGCGGUUUGUCACGUCUGCCGUGAAAGUCCGGGGCUUAACCCCGGAUCUGCGGUGGGUACGGGCAGACUGGAGUGCAGUAGGGGAGACUGGAAUUCCUGGUGUAGCGGUGAAAUGCGCAGAUAUCAGGAGGAACACCGAUGGCGAAGGCAGGUCUCUGGGCUGUUACUGACGCUGAGGAGCGAAAGCAUGGGAGCGAACAGGAUUAGAUACCCUGGUAGUCCAUGCCGUAAACGUUGGGCACUAGGUGUGGGGCCAUUCCACGGUUUCCGCGCCGCAGCUAACGCAUUAAGUCGCCCCGCC
rnacentral:rRNA from 1 species